GACGUAGGGUGCAAGCGUUGUCCGGAUUUACUGGGCGUAAAGAGCGCGUAGGCGGCUCGUUAAGUGUGAAGCUAAAUCUCUUGGCUCAACCAAGAACUAUUUCGCAUACUGGCGGGCUGGAGUGAUGCAGAGGUGGAUAGAAUUCCCGGUGUAGCGGUGAAAUGCGUUGAUAUCGGGAGGAAUACCCGUGGCGAAGGCGGUACACUGGGCAUCAACUGACGCUGAGGCGCGAAAGCGUGGGUAGCAAACAGG
rnacentral:rRNA from 1 species